UCCUUGUGUGAGAGAUUUUAUUUUUGUUACUAAAAUUUUAUGAGAGCAAUAUUUAUACAAUAAGUUCUUUCUGGAUCGCAUCCGCAAUGCCACAAAAUAAAUUAAGAGGAUACAAAUGAAGUGAAAUGAUUGGCUCACUUAUAACAGAAUCGAUCUUGUGGAUUGUAAUGUUAUUAUUAUCUAUCUUGUUUCAGAUUUUGCUGAUUGGACUUGGGAGGAGUUCAAUUUGAUUUCUUUUAAAUUAAGAGGAUACAAAACUCUUACCACUAAUGGUUUCUUUUAUUGUCACAAUUUGAUUGGAAGAUGGAAACAAUGAUAGCAAAGGGUUGCAGUGAAGGCAAAGCGUCUCGAGUUUUAUGUGUCUGGUGAAGAGGUUAGCUUUUAUUGGGUUUCUUUCCUGCAUCCUGGUAUUUAGUUUGGGAUAAUAUUUGAUUUCCCUGAUGUGGGCGCUGAAGUUUAACAUUUGAUUUGUGACUGUGCUUUGGGUUUAGAGUCAGUUAACCUUCUCUAAUUUGGUUGCAUUUAUUUUGUUUUGUGUCAUGUGACAAAGCCUUGAGCAAAUUGGUAAUAGAGCAGAACACCUUAGGAUUCAUUCAAAUAUAUAUUUAUAUUUAAGUACUGAUAUUGAGGUGGAAAUCUGGAUUUCUUCUGAUAAAUUUUGCUGCUAGCAUUCUUCUUGCUAUAUUAUUUUCUGUUUUAUACAUGAAUUUUUAUUGAAGUUAUUGUCUGGGUCCUAUUAAGCAAUUAUUUCAUAUAAUAGCCUUAACUUGCGAGAACGGUAUGGUGAAGUCUAGAUACUUGUAUGCUUUUUUAUCUUAAUUUAGUUUUCAGGACAUAUUGAAGAAAGCUCAGUUUCUUUUCCCUCGUGCUAUGGUUGUUGAUUCAAUACAAACUCUUGAUCCUAUUAACACUUGGUUAGAGCAAAAUAUUAAGUUGAAUGAUGCUGAGCACAAGUUAAAAGAUCAAAGACGUCAACUAAAGGUUCAACAGAAAAGAAUUGGUUCUACUAAAAAGACAAUUCAUGCUUUGUAUAAAAAGUUGAAUCUCCUACUUCCUUCAACUUUGUCUGAUCCUACAGAAGAUGAGCUUAGGACAGGCUCUAGUGAUGAUGAGGAUGAUAACAUAAGUGAUUGAUGUCAGGAGUAUAUA